AGAGAGGCUGUUAUCCUUAAUGAUAGGCAGCUAUUUUCCUUAUUCUUUUCGAUAUUUUUUUUGCCCUCCCGCUUAAGUAAGAGGGAGAGGUGAUAGCAAGAUUGAGCGGGAUGAUCUGUUGGAUUAGUUGAUUGGUUAGAAUGUUAAUCAGUUGAUUGAUUUAUCAGCGUAUUUUUGUGUUCUAGUACACGUUACUGGGCGCAGAGAUAAAGAUAGUCCUGUAGCUCAGUUGGUUAGAGCGCUACACUGAUAAUGUAGAGGUCCGCAGUUCAAAUCUGCGUAGGACUACCACUAAUAAAAUUGGGGGAUUAGCUCAGCUGGCUAGAGCGCCUGCCUUGCACGCAGGAGGUCAACGGUUCGACUCCGCUAUUCUCCACAAGUAUUGAGUUUAGCCAAACGGGUUAAAUUUUUUUUGAAAUAUAAAGAAGGCCAAAUAGGGGCUAGAUCUUUCAGCUGUAAGAAGUUUGGAAGUUCAGCGGUUCGACACCGUAUUCUUUACAAGAUUUUGCGAUAAUUCAAGAAAGAAUAAAGUGAUCAGAGCGAGAGUUUCCAUGAGCUAUAUUUUUAGAGUUAUCAAAGAUGAAAGAAGUUCAUUGAUUUAUUGAGUAUUGAUUGAAGUAGUGAGUAACAAGAU
rnacentral:tRNA from 1 species